rnacentral:misc_RNA from 1 species
GCUAUAUCAAAACUUUAUAAGGGCUCAGAGGAUGAAUUUUGGAAUAGAAUGAGGCAUAGAAAAGUUUCAUUGUGUUUUCUGAUUAUGAGAUUUGCUAAACGAUCUGAAGAUCAUUGGUGGAUUUUGGAGCACAAGGAAGUGACUAAUUUUGAGGUGAGGAGGUAUCUAGCCAUGAUGAUGCUUCCAGAAGUGAAGGACGAGUACGAGGAGCUUCACGAGAUGCUCAUUGACCGCGCUCAGUUGCUCUCAGAAUCUUUUGAGUACAUUGCACAUGCAGAUCCUGAGUCAUUACGUGGUGGUUUGUUUAUGGAGUUCAAGAGUGAAGAAGCUACGGGGCCUGGCGUCUUGAGGGAGUGGUUUUUCUUGGUAUGUCGAGCAAUCUUCAACCCUCAGAACGCACUGUUUGUUGCUUGUCCAAAUGACCGCAGAAGGUUCUUUCCAAAUCCAGCGUCGAAGGUGGACCCGUUGCACCUUGAGUAUUUUAGCUUCUCUGGCAGGGUAAUUGCUUUGGCCUUAAUGCAUAAAAUACAAGUUGGCAUUGUCUUUGACCGCGUGUUCUUCUUACAAUUGUCGGGCAAGAGUAUUUCCUUGGAUGACAUAAGGGAUGCAGAUCCAUUCUUGUACAGCAGCUGCAGGCAGAUAUUGGAGAUGGAUCCGGAGAUGGUAGAUCAAGAUACUCUUGGUUUGACAUUUGUUCGUGAAGUAGAAGAGUUAGGAUCCAGGAAGGUUGUCGAGCUGUGCCCUAAUGGGAAAAGUACCAUGGUGAAUAGUAAAAAUAGGAAGCAGUAUGUUGAGCUUCUUAUUCAGCACCGCUUUGUCACAUCCAUUGCUGAGCAGGUAGCUCAUUUUGCUCAAGGUUUUGCUGACAUUAUAACCUCCGUAAGGCUCCAGAAAUCCUUUUUCCAGAGCUUAAAUCUUGAAGAUCUUGAUUGGAUGCUCCACGGGAGUGAAACUGCUGUUUCUGUGGAAGACUGGAAAGCACAUACUGAUUAUAAUGGCUAUAAAGAAAGUGAUCCUCAA